rnacentral:rRNA from 1 species
CCCUUCGAGACUAGGAGGUUGAUAGGCCGCAGGUGAAAGCCCGGUAACGGGUGGAGCCGAGCGGUACUAAUAGCCCGAUUGUCUUACGUA